AUCACAUGGUUGCACAGAUUUUCUUUUACAUGUAGUUGGCUGAUAAUGUUGAAAUUUUAAGAAUUAGGAAAUAAUUAAAAAUAUUUAUUGCCAAAUCAUAGUUAUUGAUGGGCACAUAAUUUUUUUUCCUUGAAAAUUCUUUAGUCUCUGUACCUGUUAGAAAAGUGAGAAAGUCUUACACCAAUUAGCUACUGGAAACAAUGUGAAGCAUGAGUUCAGUGUAGCCAUAAACCAAAUUCCAUUACAG
rnacentral:lncRNA from 1 species